rnacentral:piRNA from 1 species
CUUUUUGACAGAUUGUUGAAAUU